CUCAAGUGUCCCUUGCCAUCAAAUCUUGUUAAACCACUGUUGCAUUUAUUAUCAAUCUUUGUUAAAUUGCUGUUUUAUAUCAAUAAACAUAUUGCUACUUCUUUCUUACGAGUGAAGUGUGUCAUUGCAUCCCCAACAACAGUCCUGCACUUCGCAGAGUGGAUCAGCCUGUAGUGAAAUAAUACAGCAUUAGGUGAAGCAAUAUUUAUAGGUCUGUCCCAUGCAGCCACCCAAGGAAACAGACAUAACAGAAUUGUAUUUAUUACCAGAUUAGUCUCUUUUCUUCAUAAUAAUGGAAAUAGCCUGGAAGUGGGAUAGAAGACAGAAGCCUCAUUGACUUGAUCUCCUAUGAGAGCCAUGCAGCAGAUUUGCAUUGCUCCUCAGCAUUCCACAAAGACACUUUAAUUCAUGAGUUUGAAUGGUUUCACAAUGCAAAUGUUGAGCUCCAAAAUGAGCAAAGUGAAACAAGUAGUAAGGACCUGCAGCAUCAGCAAUCAAAAACAUAACUGACACUGGAACUGUGUCAGUACAUUAAGAAACACAGAGAGAGUUGAGCGUCAGCUCUGCUAAGAACCACAUGACAGCAUACCAUGUUUAGCUUUCAUUACCAGCUGCACUGGCAAUUUAUUAUUUCUUGAUAAACAUUGUUUUCAUAACUCAGGCACUGCUCCUCAGACAACACUCAAUUUUGUUGCCUUUCUAUAAUAAGGAGAUUUUAAAACAUCAGAAACCAGUCUAAAAGCAGUCAGAAUAGAUCAGCAGAAAGAAGCUGAUGAGCUCAGCUUGGGUUUCUUCUUUGCACUGGCUGCAGCAAUGAUGCUCAGAGCACCACACAAUUUCUUAGAGCUUUUGUGCAGGUGAGAAAAGGUACCAGAAGCAGCACAAGGUAACUAUUACAGCUAAUGCACUGCUAAUGAAGAAGAAGGCCUCUAGAGUGAGAUACAGAAAUUGAUCCAAGCCAAACAUUUUGAAUCCAAAUUGCUCCAAAUGUGAUAUGGGUUUUGUUCAGACUCAGUGGUUUGGGAAGUGUUUGCCCCUAGAUGGCUAAUAUUAGGAAACUAAAUAAUCAAGAAGAAACUGGUCUGUGAUGAAUUUUGUGCAGCUGCCCACAGGUAGACACUGCUCAUACAUGUGAAACAAACAGACUGAACAGGGAAACAAGAUCUUGGACAUACAUAAAGCAUUGUUUCCUUUCAUGAGGCUCUUCUUUUUCCAAAGGUGUAUGAGUAGAUGCAUAAUAAUGAUCCUCCACUCCAUCACAGUAGAGCUUCAGUGGAUUUCAGAGGAUUUGAAAUUUGGGAUGAUAUGAAUAAUUGUGGUGGUCAGCAAAAUUCCAGUAGGACACAACAGGUGUAGUAGAGAUGAGAACACAUAUGACAUAUACUAAAGCACAUUCUGGUCUGUACAGUUAUCAAAACUGCACAGCUAAAGCUGGAACAGUCUUAAAUGCACAAAACUAUUGUGUGCAUUUAUGCUUUUAUUAUUUGUUCAGCUUAGAACAUAGCACAAGGCACAAGAACUACCAGGCAUCAGAUAUACCUCAUAUCCUACCCUGGCAACCCUUGUCACUAUUUCCUCCAGCUGAACAUUGGUCUCAAGCAUACAGUUGACCUGCAGAACUGCUGUCCUCAUCUACCAAGAGUAGUUAUACCUUAGCAUGAAAUUGUGCUUUCCCUCUGUAGAGCCACAUGGGUUAGGGAAGCCAUGCUGGUAGCGUGUCCCAGGAGUCUUAUUCCCAAGGACUGGAGAGAAGACCAAGAAGGUGGAACAGGUGUUGGGUAUCUUCACAAAUAAUGCUGAUUCCCCAACACUGACAGAGCUUUCCAUUGCUAUAUCAAAGUGGGGAUGUGAGAACUUUUGCCUCCUUCACUGUUCUCAUCACUUCAGUGUUAAACAGGUCAGGAAAUUUUCAUGGGGUUAAGCAGAAGGGCCAGCGUUGCAGUCAGUCCAGGACUGGAGAUUUUACACAUCUUAGGUCAGGCUCCUCCUUUGGCAAUAUAUGUUAACAUGAGACAGGAAACAUUCCCAGACACACCUUGGAAUCUG